CGGAGGGUGCAAGCGUUAUCCGGAUUCACUGGGUUUAAAGGGUGCGUAGGUGGGUUGGUAAGUCAGUGGUGAAAUCCCCGAGCUUAACUUGGGAACUGCCAUUGAUACUAUCAGUCUUGAAUACCGUGGAGGUCAGCGGAAUAUGUCAUGUAGCGGUGAAAUGCUUAGAUAUGACAUAGAACACCAAUUGCGAAGGCAGCUGGCUACACGAAUAUUGACACUGAGGCACGAAAGCGUGGGGAUCAAACAGGAUUAGAUACCCUGGUAGUCCACGCCCUAAACUAUGGAUACUCGACAUACGCGAUACACUGUGUGUGUCUGAGCGAAAGCAUUAAGUAUCCCACCUGGGAAGUACGACCGCAAGGUUG
rnacentral:rRNA from 1 species